rnacentral:rRNA from 1 species
GAUGAACGCUGGCGGCGUGCCUAACACAUGCAAGUCGAACGGAAAGGCCCUGCUUUUGUGGGUUGCUCGAGUGGCGAACGGGGGAGUAACACGUGAGUAACCUGCCCCUGACUUUGGGGUAACUUCUGGAAACUGCGGCUAAUACCGGAUAGGAUCUCCUGCUGCAUGGUGGGGGUUGGAAAGAUUCGGCGGUUGGGGAUGGACUCGCAGCUUAUGAGCUUGUUGGUGGGGUAGUGGCUUACCAAGGCUUUGACGGGUAGACGGCAUGAGAGGGUGACCGGCGACAUGGGGACUGAGAGACGGCCCAGACUCGUACGGGAGGCAGCAGUGGGGAAUCUUGCGGAAUGGGCGGACGCCUGAUGCAGCAACGCCGCGUGCGGGAUAACGGCCUUCGGGUUGUAAACCGCUUUCGACUGUGCCGAGGCGUGAGUGACGGUAAUGGGUAAAAAAGCCCCGGCUAACUACGUG